UACAGAGGGGGCAAGCGUUGUUCGGAAUUACUGGGCGUAAAGGGCGCGUAGGCGGCCUGUUAAGUCGAACGUGAAAUCCCCGGGCUCAACCCGGGAACUGCGUCCGAUACUGGCAGGCUUGAAUCCGGGAGAGGGAUGCGGAAUUCCAGGUGUAGCGGUGAAAUGCGCAGAUAUCAGGAAGAACACCCGUGGCGAAAGCGGCUCUCUGGAACGGUACUGACGCUGAGACGCGAAAGCGUGGGGAGCGAACAGG
rnacentral:rRNA from 1 species